AGACCCGAAACCCGGUGAUCUAGCCAUGGGCAGGUUGAAGGUUGGGUAACACUAACUGGAGGACCGAACCGACUAAUGUUGAAAAAUUAGCGGAUGACCUGUGGCUGGGGGUGAAAGGCCAAUCAAACCGGGAGAUAGCUGGUUCUCCCCGAAAGCUAUUUAGGUAGCGCCUCGUGAAUUCAUCUCCGGGGGUAGAGCACUGUUUCGGCUAGGGGGCCAUCCCGGCUUACCAACCCGAUGCAAACUGCGAAUACCGGAGAAUGUUAUCACGGGAGACACACGGCGGGUGCUAACGUCCGUCGUGAAGAGGGAAACAACCCAGACCGCCAGCUAAGGUCCCAAAGUCAUGGUUAAGUGGGAAACGAUGUGGGAAGGCCCAGACAGCCAGGAUGUUGGCUUAGAAGCAGCCAUCAUUUAAAGAAAGCGUAAUAGCUCACUGGUCGAGUCGGCCUGCGCGGAAGAUGUAACGGGGCUAAACCAUGCACCGAAGCUGCGGCAGCGACACUCAGGUGUUGUUGGGUAGGGGAGCGUUCUGUAAGCCUGCGAAGGUGGCCUGUGAGGGUUGCUGGAGGUAUCAGAAGUGCGAAUGCUGACAUAAGUAACGAUAAAGCGGG
rnacentral:rRNA from 1 species